UCGGGAAUUUUGGGCAAUGGGCGAAAGCCUGACCCAGCAACGCCGCGUGAAGGAUGAAGUAUUUCGGUAUGUAAACUUCGUAAGAAUAGGAAGAAUAAAUGACGGUACUAUUUGUAAGGUCCGGCUAACUACGUGCCAGCAGCCGCGGUAAUACGUAGGGACCAAGCGUUGUUCGGAUUUACUGGGCGUAAAGGGCGCGUAGGCGGUGUGUCAAGUCAGUUGUGAAAUCUCCGAGCUUAACUCGGAACGGUCAACUGAUACUGUCACACUAGAGUACAGAAGGGACAAUCGGAAUUCUUGGUGUAGCGGUGAAAUGCGUAGAUAUCAAGAGGAACACCUGAGGCGAAGGCGGGUUGCUGGGCUGAUACUGACGCUGAGGCGCGAAAGCUAGGGUAGCAAACGGGAUUAGAUACCCCCGUAGUCCCUGAGCGGGCUGGCAAGGCGCAU
rnacentral:rRNA from 1 species